GACGGGGGCAGGAAUUGAGUCACCUCCCAAAUGAACUACUCAGGUCUGCCUUUGGGAAACCUACAUGAAGAUCAGUAUCUACUGUGGGAAGGUAAACUUCCACUUGGUCCCCGAAGGAGGAGAAGCAGCUCUCCCUGAGAGCACCUGGGGGGAAAGGAUUUCAUGGAAGAGGAAGAAACAGCAUAAGCAAAGGCCCUGAGCGGGGCUUCUGCUAAUGUUUGUGUACAGAAGUGAUAACGGCGGGAUACUUCAAAGCCUUUUCAGGAAAAUC